rnacentral:lncRNA from 1 species
GUAUGUCUCAGCACCAGCCAGGCACUCUGUGAUCAAUGAAAGAAGACCCUAAAGGCAGACCAGUAGUCUCCUUUACUGGAUUGAAUCAGAUCUACUUUAGGCUCUAUGGAGAUUUCCAUCAGAAUGACCUCUCUCAGCUCAGAAGAAGACGACUCAGGACUGUCCUGGGUACCACAUGACAAGCUGGAACCAGAUUCCUCAGUAUGAUCUGCUUCUGUAAGACUUCUCCUCACUAAGGCUGCUGGGUUUGUCUGCUGUGUGCUAUCGUGAUAAAACUGAUGG